rnacentral:rRNA from 1 species
UAAGCGUGCGCGGGCGGUUUUUGUAAGUCUGAUGUGAAAUCCCCGGGCUCAACCUGGGAAUUGCAUUGGAGACUGCAAGGCUAGAAUCUGGCAGAGGGGGGUAGAAUUCCACGUGUAGCAGUGAAAUGCGUAGAUAUGUGGAGGAACACCGAUGGCGAAGGCAGCCCCCUGGGUCAAGAUUGACGCUCAUGCACGAAAGCGUGGGGAGCAAACAGGAUUAGAUACCCUGU